UACGUAGGGCGCAAGCGUUGUCCGGAAUUAUUGGGCGUAAAGAGCUCGUAGGCGGCCAGUUGCGUCUGCUGUGAAAUCCCGGGGCUCAACCCCGGGCUUGCAGUGGAUACGGGCUGGCUGGAGGCAGGCAGGGGAGAACGGAAUUCCCGGUGUAGCGGUGAAAUGCGCAGAUAUCGGGAGGAACACCGGUGGCGAAGGCGGUUCUCUGGGCCUGUACUGACGCUGAGGAGCGAAAGCGUGGGGAGCAAACAG
rnacentral:rRNA from 1 species